AGAAAAACCAGCUUUGAACUCUGCGUGCAAGGCCUCCUGAGCCUCAGGCCCCAGCCAAAGAUGCUGCGGGAUUCUACAGCUCAGCAGAGCAUGGGGGCAGGGCAUGCCAGGCGAGUGACCUCAGUCCUAGUGUACUCUCUCUAACACUCAAGUGGAAGACGCCUGAUGGUGUUCUCUGCACUGCAGUUGUGGGCGACUGGAGCAGCUGCUGCUUGGAUAGCAAGUGCAAGACUAAGAGGGAGGACAUGCUGCUGCAUCCCGGCAGUCAGAGCACCACCCGCGGUUGUGAAGAAGACUCCCAUACCGCAGGCGAGGCCGUGGCCUGUGCCUUAGCCAUCACCCGCCCAGUGCUACAACUGUCUACACUGAUUCUCAGUUGCUAUGGCUACACUAUCCAGGGCUGGUACGGACAGGCCUCCUACAGGACAAGUGCCAGGGGAGCUGGAGCGGCCCAUGAAGGCUCUGGCCGCUUCCAACUGCGGAAGAGACCAGAACUCAGCCUGCAUCCUCUGCUCUUCUGUCGCUGUUUUGUUGUCUACUAAAAACAAACAAACAAACAAAACAAAACACCUGCCUGUAAAUACAUCCCACUGAUUUUAAUUUUACAAAGUAGUUCUGAACAAAACCUUCAAAUCUUGAUUUCUAAAUUGA
rnacentral:lncRNA from 1 species